rnacentral:tRNA from 1 species
GGCCAUGUGGCCUAAUGGAUAAGGCGCCAGCCUCCGGAGCUGGAGAUUCCGCGUUCGAAUCGCGGCUUGGUCA